UACGAAGGGUGCAAGCGUUACUCGGAAUUACUGGGCGUAAAGCGUGCGUAGGUGGUGAGUUAAGUCUGUCGUGAAAGCCCUGGGCUCAACCCAGGAAGUGCAUUCGAAACUGCAGAGCUGGAGUCCUGGAGAGGAAGGCGGAAUUCUCGGUGUAGAGGUGAAAUUCGUAGAUAUCGGGAGGAACACCAGUGGCGAAGGCGGCGGCCUGGACUGAUACUGACGCUGAGGCGCGAAAGCGUGGGGAGCAAACAGG
rnacentral:rRNA from 1 species